rnacentral:rRNA from 1 species
AUUGAACGCUGGCGGCAUGCCUUACACAUGCAAGUCGAACGGCAGCACGGGUGCUUGCACCUGGUGGCGAGUGGCGAACGGGUGAGUAAUAUAUCGGAACGUACCUUAUUGUGGGGGAUAACGCAGCGAAAGCUGUGCUAAUACCGCAUAAUCCCUUAGGGGGAAAGCGGGGGACCGUAAGGCCUCGCGCAAUUAGAGCGGCCGAUACCUGAUUAGCUAGUUGGUGAGGUAAAGGCUCACCAAGGCGACGAUCAGUAGCUGGUCUGAGAGGACGCUCAGCCAACUGGGGACUGAGACACGGCCCAGACUCCUACGGGAGGCAGCAGUGGGGAAUUUUGGACAAUGGGGGCAACCCUGAUCUAGCAAUGCCGCGUGAGUGAAGAAGGCCUUCGGGUUGUAAAGCUCUUUUGUCGGGGAAGAAACAGCAGCUCUAACACAGUAUGCGAAUGACGGUACCUGAAGAAUAAGCACCGGCUAACUACGUGCCAGCCGCCGCGGUAA